CAAAAAAGCAAGACACGAACACUGUCUCAACCUGGAGACGAUCCUGCCUUUGGGAGAAUGACUUGAAGUAAAUCACUCUUAAUCCCUAGACGGAAAGGAGGGAGCGGGAGAAUUUCUGCCAUCCCACGGGACGCAGCGCAGAGGAGGCGGCUCCCCCAGCUUAUUAACCACAGACCAGGUGUGCACGCCCAAGCUCACCGGCAGAGGGCGCCAGGCCUCCGCUUGGUGCUCGAGCCUCGAGGCCCAGAAAAGAUGAAAACAUCGAGGCUUAGAGGGGUUUCUGAGUAGCUGAGAAGUCAGGACUUCACACUCCCGAUCUUUCCCCUGGCCUCCAGUUUGCCUGGCAAAGUCACAGGAAGUAUCUCCAUGGCACCGCAUCAGCCCUCACAGAGCAGGAAACCUUGAUUUCUACAGAGGCUGUUUCCUCCCAGCCUUGUGCAAGGCCCACUGCAGAGACAAAAUUAUGGUGGCCAAAGUGUGAAUGCCAAGGCCACACUGGCCUCCAUCCCUGGGAUUUGCUGGUAGAAGAAAGGGAAUCAGCGCUGACUGAGCUCCUACUAUGUGCCCUUCCUGGGCCUGGCACUGGAAUCACAGGAUGAAUGAAUAAGGCAUAUUUCCUGCCCUGAGGAGGCGUCUAUAGGGGAAGUCGGAAUUAAGGCACCUCCAGAAUUCUGAGGUCAAGGGAAUGUCAACAGAGCUGUGAACAAAAUGCCCAAAGCCAUGAAAAUCUACAGAGAGAGACUCGAAGGGGAGGAAUGGGGUAGGAGCUGGUGCCGAGGAUGAGAGGGGAGAAUUCACCUGGUGGAGAACUGAUAGGCCAGGCUGAGGUCGGGAUGGUGGAGGAGGUGGUGGAGGUGAUGAGGUACCAGAGCAACCUCGAAGAAAGCUGAGAGGCAGGAGACCGCCAAAGGCAAACUUGGAACACCUGGUGACUCCGACUAACUCUCCAUGUGGUGUCCUUGAGGACUUUUAUGAUACUGCUACCACUGCUAAUAGUAAUAAAAGCCACUAUUUAAUGUGUUUACUAUGCGCUGGGUGUGCAAAUAUUGUGGAAAGAGUGAACAUAUGUGCAGAAUGCUUAAUAAACGUGAUCUCCUUUUAUCUUCAAAAGAACAAUACAGGCCAGGUGCGGUGGCUCAUGCCUAUAAUUCCAGCACUUUGGGAGGCCGAGGCAGAUGGAUUGCUUGAGCUCAAGAAGUUUCAGACCAGCCUGGGCAACAUGGCAAAACCCCAUCUCUACAAAAAAAUACCCAAAAAAUUAGCCAGGUGUGAUGUUGCCUGCCUGUGGUCCCAGCUACUCCAGAGGUUGAGGUGGGAGAAUCGCGUGAGCCCAGAAGGUCAAGGCUGCAGUGAGCUGUGAUCCUGCCACUGCACUCCAGCCUGGGGUGACAGAGUGAGACCCUGCCUAAAAAAAAAAGAAUCAAUACGAUUAAUACUUUUACUUCUAUUUUUCAGACAAGGAAAUUGAGGCUCAGAGAGGUUAGGAACUUGCCAGAAGACCUACCAGCAAGUGGCAGAGCUAAGGUCCCAUCUGACCCCAAAGCCCACCCAUAACCGCUAUGCAGUACUGUCCAGGCAGAAACACAAACAUUACCCCAUUGUUUUUAUUCUUCAACACCUUUGGUAUCAUCCAGUCCCAGGACACUGGCUCCUGAGGAAGGAAGGCCCCUCCCACAUCCUUUAAAAUUCCCAGGCAUAAAACCAUGUUCACCAGCCACCGUGAGGGUAAGCCUCAGAGACAGGGACCGUGCCCAC
rnacentral:lncRNA from 1 species